rnacentral:rRNA from 1 species
UAGGGAAUCUUCGGCAAUGGGGGGAACCCUGACCGAGCAACGCCGCGUGAGUGAAGAAGGUUUUCGGAUCGUAAAGCUCUGUUGUUAAGGAAGAACGAGUGUGAGAAUGGAAAGUUCAUACUGUGACGGUACUUAACCAGAAAGGGACGGCUAACUACGUGCCAGCAGCCGCGGUAAUACGUAGGUCCCGAGCGUUGUCCGGAUUUAUUGGGCGUAAAGCGAGCGCAGGCGGUUAGAUAAGUCUGAAGUUAAAGGCAGUGGCUCAACCAUUGUAGGCUUUGGAAACUGUUUAACUUGAGUGCAGAAGGGGAGGGUGGAAUUCCAUGUGUAGCGGUGAAAUGCGUAGAUAUAUGGAGGAACACCGGUGGCGAAAGCGGCUCUCUGGUCUGUAACUGACGCGGAGGCUCGAAAGCGUGGGGAGCGAACAGG